rnacentral:snoRNA from 1 species
GUACAGAUUCUAUCACUAGUUCUGUGUGAUGUUGCAAAAGUGAAGGGACCCGUGUUUUCAAAAGUCAGUUUAAUGCUGCAAAGUUUAUCACCCCUAAAGUUGAGUCUCAGGGCUCUCUCUAUUAAUACAUUG